GAACUUGCCCUUUAGACUGGGAUAACAGAGGGAAACUUCUGAUAAUACUGGAUAAGUUAGUAUAUCGCAUGAUAUGCAAAUGAAAGCUACGGCACUAAAGGAGAGCUUUGCGUCCUAUUAGCUAGUUGGUAAGGUAAGAGCUUACCAAGGCGAUGAUAGGUAGCCGGCCUGAGAGGGUGGACGGCCACAAGGGGACUGAGAUACGGCCCUUACUCCUACGGGAGGCAGCAGCA
rnacentral:rRNA from 1 species